rnacentral:rRNA from 1 species
AACGAACGCUGGCGGCGUGCCUAACACAUGCAAGUCGAACGAAACCUUCGUGUCUUUUUGCGCACCGGUGCGUAACGCCGGGUAACUUGCCCUUAAGUUCGGUAUCACUCCCUGAGAGGGGUCCUAAUACCGGAUAAUCUCUUCCGACCAAGGAUCUAUCGCCUUUGGAUGGGCGCGCGUUGGAUUAGCUGGUUGGUAGGGUAAAAGCAUACCAAGGAGAUGAUGCAUAGCUGGUCGGAGAGGAUGAUCAGCCACACUUGGACUGAGACACGGCCCAGAAUCGUACGGAAGGCAGCAGAGUGUAACACUAGACGAUGAGCGAAAGACUGAUAAAGCAAUGUCGCGUAAGAGGUGAAGGCCUUAGGGUAGUAAAGCCCCUUUACCCGGGAUGAUAAUGACAGUACCGGGUGAAUAAGCUCCGGCUAACUACGUG